UAGCCAUAUCACAUUGAAACACCAUUUCUCAUAUGAUCACUGAAUUUAAGCAACGUCAAGCCCAGUCAGUACCGAGAUCGGUGACUGCUUGGGAAUACCAGGUGCUGUAAG